rnacentral:rRNA from 1 species
GCCUACGGGAGGCAGCAGUAGGGAAUUUUCGUCAAUGGGCGCAAGCCUGAACGAGCAAUGCCGCGUGAACGAAGAAGGUCUUCGGAUCGUAAAGUUCUGUUGAAGGGGAAAAAGAGCGGAGAGAGGAAAUGGUCUCCGAUUGAUAUUACCCUUCGAGGAAGUCACGGCUAACUACGUGCCAGCAGCCGCGGUAAUACGUAGGUGGCGAGCGUUAUCCGGAAUGAUUGGGCGUAAAGGGUGCGUAGGCGGCCUGCUAAGUCUGGUGUGAAAGGUACCGGCUCAACCGGUACAGGCUCUGGAAACUG